ensembl:lncRNA novel transcript
AUUAUUGUGGCUGUCACUCAGGUUUUCUGCUCAUUGGUAGACAAAGGGUGAGGAGGUGACUGAAAUUGGAACAGUGGAAGGACCCUUCACCAAAACCUGGAACUUCAGAAGAAUGGCAGGGCUGAAAAUGAUUAGUGUUAAUUCAUUCCAGUUGUGUUACCCUACCCAUAAGACUGCCUGAAGGAGCCUGAACUUCCACGUGCUGUCUUCCAUAUAAUGUGAUCUGAGG